GUGCCAGCAGCCGCGGUAAUACCGGCGGCUCGAGUGGUGGCCGCUAUUAUUGGGCUUAAAGCGUCCGUAGCUUGGUUGUUAAGUCUCCUGGGAAAUCCGCCGGCUCAACCGGCGGGCGUUCGGGAGAUACUGGCAACCUAGGGACCGGGAGAGGUGAGAGGUACUCCAGGGGUAGGAGUGAAAUCCUGUAAUCCUUGGGGGACCACCUGUGGCGAAGGCGUCUCACUAGAACGGCUCCGACAGUGAGGGA
rnacentral:rRNA from 1 species